rnacentral:lncRNA from 1 species
CAGAAAAGCUCUGUGCCCUGCGCGACAGCCGUGCAUCUCAGCAACACAGCCAGGAGUCCGCUCCCGGACCGGGGCUUCUCAGGACACUGGGAAAGGAGCCAGUCCUCUGAAGAGAACACUCUGGUCAGGUGGUGGAGGCCAGUGGGAAGCCAUCAGGCCUGCUUUCCAGGAGGGGUGAAGGGUUGGUGCACGGUGCAAGGGUGGCUGUAGCCAGAAGCAGGACCAGACAAGGACAUGGCCUCUGCAUUAAAGCCCAGAUCCCAGGCAGGGUUGGAAAGGCUGGGCCUGGGAAGUGGGGAUGAGAGGUCACUGGAGCCCUUGGCUUACCUCUGAGCACUGGGCAGGACAGUGCCUGACAGGAGGAUGGACUUGGAUGGGUACAGCCCUCCCAGAAUGGUGGUGAUGAAAGGCAUCGGCUGUCGGAAGAAGGGGGACAGGUCAGCCACCACGCGGAAGGGGAAGAUUGUACCAGUUCCCAUGAAUUUGGGCU